rnacentral:rRNA from 1 species
GAUGAACGCUGGCGGCGUGCCUAAUACAUGCAAGUCGAGCGAACGGACGAGAAGCUUGCUUCUCUGAUGUUAGCGGCGGACGGGUGAGUAACACGUGGAUAACCUACCUAUAAGACUGGGAUAAUUUCGGGAAACCGGAGCUAAUACCGGAUAAUAUUUUGAACCGCAUGGUUCAAAAGUGAAAGACGGUCUUGCUGUCACUUAUAGAUGGAUCCGCGCUGCAUUAGCUAGUUGGUAAGGUAACGGCUUACCAAGGCAACGAUGCAUAGCCGACCUGAGAGGGUGAUCGGCCACACUGGAACUGAGACACGGUCCAGACGCCUACGGGAGGCAGCAGUAGGGAAUCUUCCGCAAUGGGCGAAAGCCUGACGGAGCAACGCCGCGUGAGUGAUGAAGGUCUUCGGAUCGUAAAACUCUGUUAUUAGGGAAGAACAUAUGUGUAAGUAACUGUGCACAUCUUGACGGUACCUAAUCAGAAAGCCACGGCUAACUACGUG